CCCGGCUCCUCUUCAGUUGAUGCCUUAAUUAGCUUACUCCACUCCCUAUACGCUGACUCAGAUGGAAAUGGUAAAACUGUGCGUUUAUUCCUACUGGACUUCAGCAAGGCUUUCGAUCGGAUUAACUAUAAGAUACUAAUCACAAAGAUGCGCAAAUUGGAUAUAAACCCAUCCGUUAUCAAUUGGGUAAUUGACUUUUUGUCCGGAAGGAGACAGCGGAUUAAAAUGGGUAACGUAUUUUCAGAUUGGUCUGCAGUAAACGGUGGGGUACCCCAAGGAACAGUGCUCGGUCCUAUACUCUUCUUAAUUAUGAUAAAUGACUUGGUUACUGAGCAUGAUCGAAGGUGGAAAUUUGUGGAUGAUACAAGUGUCUCUGAAGUUAUUAAUAAAGGUGAGCAAGGGAAGAUGCAAUCCCUUGUUAAUGCGAUAAACAGCUGGUGUAUAAAGAAUGACAUGAAACUUAAUCAAUCUAAGUGCAAAGAUAUGAUCAUCUCGUUUGCGAAAGAUCCUCCAAAACUGGACCCAAUCUUCGUAAACAAUCACAAACUAGUUCCUGUAUCUUCAGCAAAAAUCCUAGGCACUUAUAUUUCCACAGACUUGAAAUGGAACACACACAUAAACUAUAUUGUAUCCAAGGCUUCUAAGCGCCUAUAUUUUUUACGCAUAUUAAAACGGGCUGGACUUGAUCAUACAUCCCUUUUAACCGUCUAUACUACCUGCAUAAGAUCAGUCCUCGAAUACGGUUGCCAAUUAUGGAACUUUGGUGCUUCCCAAUACCUUUCUGAUGACGUCGAGCGGGUCCAAAAGCGAGCACUAAGAAUAAUUUAUCCUGAUCUAUCUUACAGGAAGGCCUUGGAGGUUAUUCCGCUUCCAAAUCUUUCACAAAGACGAGAUGAACUUUGCAGAUCACACUUUAAAAGAAUAACUAAACCAAGUCAUAAAUUGUACAAUCUUCUCCCUGACAAACGUACUAACAAUCUUAGAAAUAACGACAAUUUUACACACAUUUGGUCUUGUACCAACCGUUUUAAAAAUAGUUAUAUACCAAGUAGUGUAGUAUCUUUUAAUACCUAUACGUCUUAAUAAACUAUAUAAUAUAUAAUCAUAUCUUAAUUAUUAGUCUUUAACUUGUAAUUUUAUAAACUGUAUUUUUAGAACAUUAUGUAAACCGAGC